rnacentral:rRNA from 1 species
UAGGGAAUAUUGGGGCAAUGGGAGGCAACUCUGACCCAGCAACACCGCGUGAAUGAUGAAGGUUUUCGGAUUGUAAAGUUCUGUGAUGGGGGACGAACAAAUGACGGUACCCCAAUAGCAAGCCACGGCUAACUACGUGCCAGCAGCCGCGGUAAUACGUAGGUGGCAAGCGUUGUCCGGAAUGACUGGGCGUAAAGGGUGCGUAGGUGGCUAUUCAAGUUAGCGGUGAAAUCCCGGGGCUCAACUCCGGUGCUACCACUAAUACUGUUUAGCUUGAGUACGGGAGAGGUAACUGGAAUUCCUAGUGUAGCGGUGGAAUGCGUAGAUAUUAGGA